rnacentral:tRNA from 1 species
GCUUGGGUGGCUCAGUCGGUGAAGCGUCUGACUUCGGCUCAGGAUAUGAUCUCACGGUUCGUGGGUUCGAGCCCCGCGUCGGGCU